rnacentral:rRNA from 1 species
AUUGAACGCUGGCGGCAGGCCUAACACAUGCAAGUCGAGCGAGCGGCGGACGGGUGAGUAAUGUAUGGGGACUGCCCGAUAGAGGGGGAUAACUACUGGAAACGGUGGCUAAUACCGCAUACUUUCGGAUAACCUAUAUGGGAUUAGCUUGUGGGUGGGGUAAAGGCUCACCUAGGCGACGAUCUCUAGCUGGUCUGAGAGGAUGAGCAGCCACACUGAGAUGGAGACACGGCCCAGACUCCUACGGAGGCAGCAGUGGGGAAUAUUGCAAAAUGGGCGCAAGCCGGAUGCAGACAUGCCGCGGGUAUGAAGAAGGUCUUCGGAUUGUAAAGCCCUUUAAGUUGGGAGGCGUUACCAACAGAAUAAGCACCGGCUAACUUCGUGCCAGCCGCCGCGGUAAUAC